GAUGAACGCUGGCGGCGUGCCUAAUACAUGCAAGUCGAGCGAACGGACGAGAAGCUUGCUUCUCUGAUGUUAGCGGCGGACGGGUGAGUAACACGUGGAUAACCUACCUAUAAGACUGGGAUAACUUCGGGAAACCGGAGCUAAUACCGGAUAAUAUUUUGAACCGCAUGGUUCAAAAGUGAAAGACGGUCUUGCUGUCACUUAUAGAUGGAUCCGCGCUGCAUUAGCUAGUUGGUAAGGUAACGGCUUACCAAGGCAACGAUGCAUAGCCGACCUGAGAGGGUGAUCGGCCACACUGGAACUGAGACACGGUCCAGACUCCUACGGGAGGCAGCAGUAGGGAAUCUUCCGCAAUGGGCGAAAGCCUGACGGAGCAACGCCGCGUGAGUGAUGAAGGUCUUCGGAUCGUAAAACUCUGUUAUUAGGGAAGAACAUAUGUGUAAGUAACUGUGCACAUCUUGACGGUACCUAAUCAGAAAGCCACAGCUAACUACGUGCCAGCAGCCGCGGUAAUACGUAGGUGGCAAGCGUUAUCCGGAAUUAUUGGGCGUAAAGCGCGCGUAGGCGGUUUUUUAGUCUGAUGUGAAAGCCCACGGCUCAACCGUGGAGGGUCAUUGGAAACUGGAAAACUUGAGUGCAGAAGAGGAAAGUGGAAUUCCAUGUGUAGCGGUGAAAUGCGCAGAGAUAUGGAGGAACACCAGUGGCGAAGGCGACUUUCUGGUCUGUAACUGACGCUGAUGUGCGAAAGCGUGGGGAUCAAACAGGAUUAGAUACCCUGGUAGUCCACGCCGUAAACGAUGAGUGCUAAGUGUUAGGGGGUUUCCGCCCCUUAGUGCUGCAGCUAACGCAUUAAGCACUCCGCCUGGGGAGUACGACCGCAAGGUUGAAACUCAAAGGAAUUGACGGGGACCCGCACAAGCGGUGGAGCAUGUGGUUUAAUUCGAAGCAACGCGAAGAACCUUACCAAAUCUUGACAUCCUUUGACAACUCUAGAGAUAGAGCUUUCCCCUUCGGGGGACAAAGUGACAGGUGGUGCAUGGUUGUCGUCAGCUCGUGUCGUGAGAUGUUGGGUUAAGUCCCGCAACGAGCGCAACCCUUAAGCUUAGUUGCCAUCAUUAAGUUGGGCACUCUAAGUUGACUGCCGGUGACAAACCGGAGGAAGGUGGGGAUGACGUCAAAUCAUCAUGCCCCUUAUGAUUUGGGCUACACACGUGCUACAAUGGACAAUACAAAGGGCAGCGAAACCGUGAGGUCAAGCAAAUCCCAUAAAGUUGUUCUCAGUUCGGAUUGUAGUCUGCAACUCGACUACAUGAAGCUGGAAUCGCUAGUAAUCGUAGAUCAGCAUGCUACGGUGAAUACGUUCCCGGGUCU
rnacentral:rRNA from 1 species